rnacentral:lncRNA from 1 species
UCUGACUGGCUUUGAGUCCUGGCCUGUAGAUCCCAUCUGAAUUUCAUGGUUUUAGCAGGACCUUAAAGGGGAGUGGAUGCAUUGGCAAGACUAGAUCUUAGAUACUGAGGCCCUGGGGGCUUCCCUGUAGCUCAAAUAGUAAAGAAUUUGCCUUCAACGCAGGAGACCAGGGUUUGAUCCCUGGGUCAGGAAGAUCCCCUGGAGAUGGAAAUAGAAAUGGCAACACAACUGAGGAACUAACACUAUUACUACACUGAGGCCCUGAGAAGCUAGUGUCCCAAGCCCACUAUGGAAGCUGCCUGUCUUUGAGAAUCUGAACCUGGGGAGAGAAGGAAUGACCACAGUGGACUGAAGUGCCUCACCCUGCACUGCUGAGAAUUCUCUUGCAUUGGAGGGUAAUGAGUGAUGGAGACUCUACAGGGAUUUGGUGGGGAGAGGAGACUGCAGUCAAGCUCACAACGCACACUCACUUCAGAAUGAGUUGAUUCUAGAACAACCUUGGAAGCCUCUGUUGAAUGCUGCAGCACCUCCAUCAGCUUGGACUCCCUGAUUGACUAUGUGGCCAACCUGCUCACUUGUUCAGUCCUGUUUCAUGAGUAAGAAAUAAAAUUCUAUUGAGUUUGAGCCAUUAUGUCUUUGGGAGCUUAUUCACUAUAGCAGUUAACUUAUCCUAACUGCGUGUGCAUGUGCGCUUAGUCACUCAGUCUU